rnacentral:rRNA from 1 species
CCUACGGGUGGCAGCAGUGAGGAAUAUUGGUCAAUGGCCGAAAGGCUGAACCAGCCAAGCCGCGUGAAGGACGAAGGUGCCAAGCAUUGUAAACUUCUUUUGUCAGGGAACAAAAUCAGGCACGAGAGCCUGACCGAGGGUACUUGAAGAAAAAGGAUCGGCUAACUCCGUGCCAGCAGCCGCGGUAAUACGGAGGAUUCGAGCGUUAUCCGGAUUUAUUGGGUUUAAAGGGUGCGUAGGGGGAAUGUUAAGUCAGGGGUGAAAGCCCGGGGCUUCACCCCCGGGAGGCCGUUGAAACUGGCUGUCUUGAGUGGUCGAGAGGUAUGCGGAAUGCGCAGUGUAGCGGUGAAAUGCUUAGAUAUUGCGCAGAACUCCGAUUGCGAAGGCAGCAUACUGG